rnacentral:rRNA from 1 species
UUACAUCAGCAGUCAUCCUUGUGAUAGUGUGUGGCUGGCGCCGCUCCUGCCAAAUGGCGCCCAUUGGGACAUCCUCAAAAACCUUGUGGCUAAUACCCGUCCGCUCCAGUCAACCUCAGCACAGGCGCCAGCCCUCGGGCUGGCGUCCUGGUGGUGGAUCAUGACCAGUCGAGAUGAAGACCAGCGCCCCUCUCGGGGCAGUGUGUUGCAGGUUGACUCAGGCUGGACUCCCGGUGGGGGAACAGUCAUUCUGGCAGAGUGGUGGCCUCGUGCCACAUCGCUUGAUCACAGGAACUUCUGACCUAUCAGCUUGGACUGUGGGGUAGUGGCCCACAAUGGCAGUAACGGGUAACGGAGAAUCAGGGUUCGAUUCCGGAGAGGGAGCCUGAGAGAUGGCUACCACUACCAAGGUGGGCAGCAGGCGCGCAAAUUGCCCAAUACAAGCCCCUGUGUGUGAGGCAGCGACGAACUGCAGCAAUCCCGCUGGCCCUUUGUGCCAGUGGUCUUUGGAAUGGAUGCAACCCAAACACAGCCAUGAGUAUCGACUGGAGGGCAAGUCUGGUGCCAGCAGCCGCGGUAAUUCCAGCUCCAAGAGCGUACACUAUCAUUGCUUCUGUUAAAACACCUGUAGUCCGCCACUGGGUCCAGGUCCGCUGGGUGGCUGGCUCUGGGGGACGGUCCGGCCGGGGUUCGCCCUGGUCGGGUCCCCUCCGGGGCUGGGUCAAACCCCCAGCGGUGUGUCCUGGGCCCGCAUCCCUCGAGGAAUACCGGUGAGAUGCUCCUGCCGCAAGCCCCCUUCACUGGGGGCCCAGGUGGAAACGCCCGUCACGCAGGCAUGGGUUGCGAAGCCACCGGGGCCCGGUGCCCCGGACCACGGUCCGCCGUGGACGCAGCCCGCCACAGGAGCCGACCUGACCUUGAUACCCUGGAAAACUCAGUGUGCUCAACGCGUCCUGUCCGUCAUGGCUGGAUGCUUAUCCAUGGAAUGUCGCAGCAUCGACCUAGUGUGGCUCAGUGUUUGUGCUGGCCUUGGGGCCCACCCAGGGCAAUGUGGUGCAUGGUUCUGGACUGGACGGGGUUGGUGCGGGGCUCGUCCCCAAGCCCUCCCCCAGAGUACUGUAAGCCAAGUGCUGAACGGAGAUGAUGGAAUCCACCAGGGUGAGAGAUAUGGGAACGCCAGAGGUGAAAUUCUUAGACCGCUCCCAGAUGCCCAGGAGCGAUGGCGUUAUGCAGGCCUGUGUUCAUCGAUCAAGGAUGAGAGUCUGGGGAACGAAGAUGAUCAGACACCGUCGUAGUCCAGCACCGUAAACCGUGCCAGCAAGGCCUCAGCGGGGCACGUCCCAAGACCCCGCUGGUGCCACUCCCCUACCAACGAGAAAUCCACAGCCUGUGGGUUCAGGGGGGAGUACUGUCGCAAGGCUGAAACUUAAAGGAAUUGACGGAAUGGCACCACAAGGCGUGGAGUAUGCGGCUUAAUUUGACUCAACACGGGGAAUGUUACCAGGUCAGGACACAGCCAGGAUGGACAGAUUGAGAGCUCUCUCUAGAUCCUGUGGACGGUGGUGCAUGGCCGCUCCUGAUUGGUGGGGUGACUUGUCUGGUUGAUUCCGAUAACGAGUGAGAUCUCUGCCUCCCAGUAGCCCCUGGCUCGCAUCUGGUAGGGCCUGGUCCCGGGAGCCAAGCCCAGGGGUCGCCCCGGUUCGCCGGGGUUCCCUGGGUUCCCGGGCCGCCCGAGAGCCUUGGGUCCAGCUUCUCUGAGGUGCUGUGUUCGCUUCCAAAGGGCAUGCAUGCUAGAGCCAACAGCAGGUCUGUGAUGCCCCCAGAUGUUCUGGGCCGCACGCGCACUACAAUGGAAUGGUGAAGGGGUGAGCCGCUCACAUCCUGUGAGACCUGGCCAGCAAUGGCUGGGAAAUCCUGGGAGCCGAUGUCCGUACUGGGGAUAGACGAUUGCAACUGUGUGCCUUGAACGUGGAAUGCCUAGUAGGCGCUGGUCAUCAGCCAGCACCGAUUGUGUCCCUGCC